rnacentral:lncRNA from 1 species
UCCUCAUGUGGUUUUUGCAUGCAAAAAAAGCAGAAGCAAAUAUUAGUUCACUGGUUUUCUAAUGUUUAAAUUAAUACUAAAUGGUAUUAUGUGGUUAGAUUGUGAUACGAAAAGAUAACUCAUAUUAGUAGAUGAAACUAAACAUGUCAUUACUCUAAUCAGAAAUUAGCAAAUUGAUUAAAAGGCUAAUAUGUCAUCUAUCAAGUCCAAUUGGAGAUAUGCUUUAUCUUAGUCAUCGAAGCAGAUAACUCCCAAAAGAUAGAGACAUAAAUGUGACUGACUGGACUGACAAUACAUCAGACUGGACCCAACCAGAAUAGAUUCUGAAUCUUUUUAUGGAUUUAUUCACUUGUGAUAUUUGUAGUGUGACAUAACUUAAUCCCGAGUGGACGAUGAACUAUGUAUGUGUAACUUGUAUACUUUAAUGUAAGUGAAAGGCCGAGUUCCAAUAGAUAGGAAUAGAAAGCUGAUGUGUUGUGUAUAUAACUUCUGCAAUAUGUAGCAUUGGAAUUCAUAGCCCAAGACAUGGGUAAAUGAUAUUCUCUCAUUAGCAUUACAUGAUAGAUGAAAAAUAAACGUCACCACGAGUCAUUCGUCUUUGUGAUGAAUAACUUAAUUACUAUUUGGUAGUAAUUGAGUUUUCAUGAAGGACGAUGUAAUGGAUACCAUGAGAUAAAAUAGGAUCAUAUUGGGAGAGCGAAUUUAUUCUAAAGAGAUUAAAGAUAUCCUAUGAGGGUAACACACUUAUGUCAAGGUCAUUGGAUGAGCACUGAUCAAGUAGCUUUCGUAAUGAUAUAUCAUUAAGGAGAGCUCAGUCAUGAUACUAUAGUGUAAUGACUUGGUGACUAAAUGAGUUUAUAAUUAAUAAGUGAAAAACUAGAACUUAAUUAUAAAUCAUUUCAUUCCUAAUCACAUAUGUCCAAUCAGUCACUCUGCUAGCUCGUUAAAACUAUAAAUGAAUUGCAUGUUGAAUAAAAUGAAUAGAAAUGGAUAAAACAUUACACCAAAACAGGCUUUUAGCGGCAUUUUUUUAGGCCUUUAGCGGCGUUUUUUAGCGCAAAAAGUGACGAUAUUGACAAUGUCGCUAACGUUUGCGGCGUUUUUAGACAUAAACGCCGCUAAAGAUCAUGACUUUUAGCGGCGCUUUUUUCACAAACGCCGCUAUAGAACAUGAGCUUUAGCGAUGCUUUACCCACAAAUGCCGCUAAAGAACACGACCUUUAACGGCGCUUUACCCACAAACGCCGCUAAAGAACAUGACCUUUAGCGGCGCUUUACCCAAAAACGCCGCUAAAGAACAUGAUCUUUAGCUGCGCUUUUAUCACAAACGCCACUAAAAGUACGAUUCUUUAGCAGCAUUUAUGGAAAAACGCUACUAAUUUUAGCAAAUUUGUAACAUCCAAUUUUCAUCCAUAUACAAUCCUUCCUGUAACAUAAAAUCCAACCAAAAAUAGCAAAUUUAAAUGAUACUUCAAAUUCAAUGAAAGUUAUAUGAUAUAAAUUGAUAACUGAAUUAUAAUUCAAAAUAUUCUUACAAUAAUAUUAAAAUUAACAAAGUUAAAAAUAUUCCUACAAUAACUAAAGCACACUAAAAUGUUUACACAAUCACCUCCCAGAAAUAGGUGCAGCAGCAACCACAAGAAAAAAAAAGGAAAAUUAACAAAUCCAGAAAUAGCAGUUUUUGGCAAUCACUUUUUCGGGAGUAAUACCGAAAAAAUAACCCCCUGGUUUCAACAAAAAUGACACAUUACUAGAAGUCUCCUUGCUUUGUCUUCAGUUUCAAAUCUUAACUGCAAAUAGAAGAAUAGAAAUGCACUUCAGAUUCAUCAUAUUUGUUCACAUGACAAAUCAAAACCCAAUGUUCACAACUUAAACUACACAAAAUACCUGCAAAUGCUGCAAGCAACAGGCUAGAUCAAGCAACACAUAAAUGCAUAGCCAUAAUAACAAACUAAAGAGGCAUUGUAAGUGCCUUUUUGUUAGAUUCAGUCAUGCAAAAUCGAACUAAACUACCACCAUUGUACGGAAAAUGACCUAUUUUUACUUAGACGGAGGUCGUCCUUGUAGGGUAGUUCGUGUUGCUGGUGAGUAAAAUUGUGCAUGAACCAUCUUAUUAUCCCACACUAAAAUCAAAACCAAUCAGAAUUGAGUCAAUUACAUGAAAAUCAUAACCUUUCUACAAUGCUAAAUAACAUCCUUUGAAAAAUAACAUAAGAGUACUACCCAAGACACGACCAAAUUCCAGUGGUUGCCUAAUUGAGUCUAAAAAGAAAACAUCUCAUUUAUUGGGUUUGUUUCAACCUGGCAUUAAAAGAGAGGCCUUCAAGCAAGACAUACACACAAUAAGUACUGAAAAAUUAAGCCAAUACUAACUUUCAAGGUAACACUUUGGAAUAAAAAUAAAUAAGUAAAGGUCUAAUUAUGAAUUUUAUCCCCUUAAUUUACAAAACCUGAUAAGUUAGUCCAAUUGGAUAACAUUAGUAAACCUUGCUGUUAAAUUACUAGCUUGAAUAUCAACACUUCAAUAUUUAAUAUGUAAGGAAUUAUCAAAAAUCAACAUUUCAAUAAUUUAUAUGCAAGAAAUUAACACAAAUCAAUCUUACAACAGUUUAUGUGAAACAAAUUAGCAAAAAUCAACUACAUAUAUUUAUCGGCAAUAGGGCUAAAUCUUCAAUUUCUAUAACGAUUUAUAUGCAACAAAUUAGCAAAAAAUCAAUGGUUCAAGUUCAUGUAUUUACCAAAAAUCAGACUAAUUUUUCAAUAUUUAUAACAACUUAUAUGCAACAAAUUAGCAAAAAUAAAUGGUUCAAGUUCAUGCAUUUACCAACAACCAGACUAAAUUUUCAAUUUUUAUAACAACUUAUGUGCAACAAAUUAGGAAAAAUCAACAGUUCAAGUUCAUGCAUUCACCAACAACCAGACCAAAUUUUCAACUUUUAUAAAGUAGAAAGAUCAAAUUCUAACAAAUUAAAGCAAGAUACCAACUUCCCACACUUCUCAUUAGUUAAAGUAAUCAAUGGUAUACAGAGUAGCAGGUAAACUUUAUGAGAUAUCCUAUCAUCAGAUUUCUAUUUCUUUGCAGAUAGGAAUUCACAUAUUACAGAUGAAAUGGGCAAAUGACCAUCAUAGAUGACAACGUAAAGAUGAACAGGUGAACUCGAUCAUAGACAUUACCUUGGAAGGAGUUAAAUCAAAUGAUGGACGAGCAUCACUCUCUCUGCUCUGAGCACAUACACAAGAAAGACCUCGACCCAACCAUGCUGUUGAUCUUGCCACAACCUCAGCUGUAACAAAAUAAAGCACUGUACUAAAUCUUAAUGCCACAAAAAGUUUAUUUUUCCCUUUCAAACAUAUGGCUUUGUUUUUAUUUUUUCUUGCAUGCUUGACCAUGGAAGACAUCAUUGUACUAUUUAUAAAAUUUUCAAUUACGAUUUAAUCUAAUGCUAAUUUAAUUAUUACAAAAAUUUAAAAUCAACAGUUCUUAUUGUAAAGGCAUUUAUGCCUUUCAUAUAUAUGUAAAAUUUUAAGAAAUAAAUAGUUUAAAAAUUAUAAAAUUUUUAGAAAAAUAAAAAUAAACGAGGGUUAAGUUGAGGGAUUUUGAACCUGGUGGAUUUUGAGAACAAGGUCAGGAUGCAAUUUCCUCUGCCAAACCUCGUACUUCCCUUCUAAACCGUCAACCUCAAUUUCAUACUUAUUUUCUGUGUUAAUUAAAAAAAGCAAUUACGGAAAAAAAAAAGUAAAUUAAAAUUCUAUACUAGUAGGGAAAAAAAAGGAAGAACACUUACAGCCCAAAAAUCUGAAAGUAAUCGAUGCAUAAAGCAACGGGUCGAAUGCUCCUGCAGGAAUCAGAAUGUGGGGAAAUAACCCAGUAUGCUCCCCCUUUCUUUUGAGCAAUGCACCUUGGAAAUUUCAAAAAGCUCAGAUUUCAGAACAAAAAACGGUACAUACCAGAAUAGCCUCAACUCAAAAACAGCAUUGCGAUAGAAGUUGUAAAGUACUAAGUAACCAACACGCUGAUAAUUCCAGUGACCAUGAACCAAUAGUAAUCUUUUCAGAAACCGGAACUGGCCCAUCGCAAAAUCUGAUGCCAUCACAACUUGCCGUUUGAGAUUUUUUGGGAUUUUUUGAAAUUUUUUUUUAUAAUGUCGCAGGGAGGGAGGGAGGGAGAGAAAGCAAGAGAGACGGCGUGUUUGCAAAGUUAAGAGUUUUAGGGGGGAAUUAGGGGUUCCACGGGGGGAAAUUUGGGGAUAAAAUGGCGGGAUGUUUUUUAAAGUAAAAUUAUUCUUUGCGGCAUUUAUUAUAAAAACGCCGCUAUUGCUUACCUUUUGCAGCGUUUUUUUGAAAAUGCCGCAAAAAAAAAUUUUCAUUUUGAAUAAAACGACGUCGUUUUACUCUGCUAAAAAUAUCUUAUUUUGUCUAUUAAAAAUUAUUAGUUAAGUAAUUUUAUAAAACAUUUAUUAUUACUAUUUUUUAUAAAUUGGAUUUUUAUAAAAAAAAUAAUCAGGUACUCUCAAAAUAAAUAUUGUAUAUUUUAAUAAGACAACAAAUGAUUAAAUGGCUAUAAUUAAUUAUUAAGUUAGAAUUAUCCAAUGUCAGCAAUCAAUCUCUCACAUAUCAAAUUUCUAUUAAAGAUUGAGACGUUAAUCAUGAUUUUAUAUUAUUCUUUUCCGAUCUAAUCUUCAUUUUAUUAGAGAUAUUUCUUCCUAACUAAAAUAUAACUAUUUUGCUAGAUGUUCGAUGUGGAAUGAUUUUAGUUUUUGUAUUUCAUUUUAUUUGUUAUAAUUUGGUCCUAUCCAAAAUAGAUAGUUAUCUAUCCAUAUCAAUCUGUUACUUUUUAUUUAUUUAUUUAUCAAUGUUUUUUUAAAAUCUAAUAUUUAAAUAUAUCAAAUGGUUUAGAUUAAAUAUUUUUAAAUAUAAAUGCAUUAAUUGAUUGUAUAAAAUUUCAUCAUUUAACAAAUCUCAAGUAAACCUUAAAUCCUAAACCAUUUAAUAUAUAUAAAGUUUAUCUAUUAUCUCUUAUAUAAUUUAAACUACAAUUAUAUAAGAAAUUAUUUAAUAUAUAAAUUAAAAAACACUAAUCAAUCUAAACCCCUAACCCCUAUCCCUAAACCCUGAAUCAUGAAACAUAAACUAUAAAUCCUUAACCCCUAAAUCCUUAACCCUAACCCCUAAACCCAUAAUCCAUAAACCUUAAGAUAAUAACUCUUAAACCUUAAACCCUAAACCAUAUAUCCUAAACCAUAAACCCUAAACCCUAAACUAUAAUGAUAAUUAAUUCAAUAUUUUAAAAUUAGAAAAUACUAGUUACUCUAAACCCUAAACCAUAAACCUAAACCCUAAAACCAUAAACACAUAAACCCUUAACACAUAACCUCUAAACUUUAAACCCCAGCCUUUAAACCAUAAACCAUAAAUCAUAACCCAUAAACCCAUAAUCCAUAAACCUUAAAAUGGUAACACCUAAACCUUAAACUCUAAACCAUAUACUCUAAACCAAAAACCCUAAACUGUAGUGAUAAUUAAUUCAAUAUUUUAAAAUUAAUACUAUCUCUUUUACGGUUAUAUAAGAAAUUAUUUAAUAUAUAAAUUAAAAAAAUCAGUAAUGUACCCAAAAAACUUUAAAAUUAUUUUAAAUAAUAGUAUUUUAAUUUUUUCAUUUUUAACAAAUAUUUUUCUAUGUUUUUUAUUUCAAAUUAUUUCUACGUGUCAUUAUUUUUUCUGAAGAUUUUAAAUAUUCAAUUAAAAAUAAAUUGAAUUUUAAUAAAUAUAAAUAAACCAAUCAAAUAAUAAAUAGACAGACAAAAUGGUUUUUGUGGCGCUUUUUCAAAAAUGCCGCUAAAAAUAGAGCAUUAGCGUCACUUUUUCAAAAACGAUGCUAAAGCCCAGAGCAUUAGCGGCGCUUUUUCAAAAACGCCGCUAAUGCCCCAAAAAGCUGGGGGCUUAGGUUUUUUGCGGCGCUUCCUUGGGAACGCCACUAAUGCUUGAUUUUUAGUGGCGUUUUCUGUCCAAAUGCCGCUAAAAAUACCGCUAAAAACAUGUUUUGCUGUAGUGAAAAUGAUAAAGUUAGAGAAAUGAGAAAAUUCAGAAAUGAAUGUGUGUUUCUCACUAAAUAUGAAAAUGACCUGAUAAUUAAUUUAUGGUUUUUCGAAUUAUUAUUUAAUUAAUUAAAUAAUUGAAGUUCAAAAAUAAAAUUAAAUUAAUUGGUCAUUUUGAAUCCGUUAAAUGUAGAAAAAUUAAAUAUAUUUUCUCAUAGAUUCUUUUACGGUAAAGUUGCAAUGAUUUUAACGGAAAAAGCAUUGGGUUGAGAAAAUUAUUUAAUUGGGAAAUUAAUUAAUUAAUUAAAAUUAAUUUAUAAUGUCUAUUUUGGAAAAUAGAAAAACAUUUAUUUAGUUCAAUUGAAUUAUAACAUGCUGGGUUAAAAGUCUAGGAAGCACAUAUAAUUGGACCAAAUAUAAAAGAAGCUCGAAUCCUCAUCAUAAUACAUAUGAGAGGAAACACACCCUAUUAACCCCUCUCUCUCCUAGUUCACCCAGGGGAUUGUUUUCCUAUUAAAUAGACAUUAAAUGCAUUCUACUAAAUCAACCAGGGUUUCACUUCCUCUCCUUAUAAAUAGAUGGCACCAAUAGAGCUAAAAAUACAAUAAAUUUUACACAAUUUUGACAUAUUGUUAUUCUAUUCGAAGAUAGUGAGAAUUCAUUUCUAAGUAUAAAUAUUAUUUUUUGGGAAUAAUAAUUCUACUAGUUUCUAUUUGAGAGAAAAUUUUACUUUCUCACUGAAAGUAAAGUAAAUAAUUUAUGGUUCUGUGUUUGAUUUGAUAGUGUUCGAGCCCACAAAGUAGCUCGUGGUACGAGAAUAGCGGAGAAGGUCAUUCAAUUGAAAGUUGGGAACGAAAAGGAUCCUUCUAGUUGAAAAUACAGGUGCGAUUUUGUGAAAAGUUUAUUGCUAUAAAUAUCACAAACCGACUCAUUUUCAAAAUUUUAAUUUUUCGCUCUACAAGAAAACCGUUUUCGAAUCGAAUUUUUUCUAACACUAACAUGUAAUGCUGAUGAGAGGAUAUCAUUUACCUAUUAGUUGGCUGUGAAUUUCAUUAUUAUGAAUGAUGCUACAUAUUGCAAAAUUCGUAUACCCAACGCACUAGCUUUCGGUUCCUUAUCUAUUUGAACUUAGACUUUUAGUUACAUCAAAGUAUACCAGUCUCUCAUACAUAGUCCAUUAUCCACUCAAGGUUAAGGUAGGCCACACUAUGAAUGUAACAAGUGAAAAAAAAAUCUACAAACGAAUCUAGAAUUUAUUCUACUUAGGUUUUGUUCGAUGUACUAUUAGUCUGGACAGUCACAUCUAUGUUUGUAUCUUUGGGAGUCAUUCAUUCUGAGCUCAAGAUCAAGCAUCUCCCAUAUUAGACUUUAUAGACGGUAUACUAAUCUUUCAACCGAUUUGCUCAUUUCUGAUUAGACUAAGGACGACAUGUUUAGGUUCAUCUACUAAUACAAGUUGUAUUUCCAUAUUACAAUCCAACUACAUAAUAUUGCUUCAUAUUAGUUAAAUGUUAGAUAACCAAUGAGUUAAUAUUUACUUCCAUUUUGCUCUGCGUGCAAAAAAAUUGAGGACAAUAUACAAAAGUUAUUAAUGUAGUUAAUGGAUAUUAUUAUUAAAUAAUUUGUUCAAAAAUAUAAGUGUACAUAGACGAAAACACUACAUUUAGGGCAUUGAAUCCAACAAAUUCGAGGUUAGAAGCAUCCAACUUGAAAGCUUAGAUUGGAAACCAGCUAGUUGUUUAUUUUGUAUGUAUAAACGUGUUUGGGUCAAAUGACAUGUACCUAUGUUGAUUUAGCAUGUUGCUUAAGUUAAUAUUUGGUACUUUUGGUAUUAUGACCUAUAAUGUUUGAGUGGUGAGUUUCAUCUUUUGAUUUAAAGAUUAUCAUGCAUGUUUAUAAGUGUUUGAUUGCAUAAUUUGCUUGGUUAUAUAAUGAUGAAAUGGAUGCUAGGAUUUGUUGGUGAAUGAAUGUGUUUAUAUGUUGAAUUGAUGAUUUUUCGAUUGUGUAAAGUUUAGGUAUAUUUUAGUUAUAAUUUUGUAUGGUUUGAAUGUUUGAAAUUGUGCAUUUAGGGUCAUUUUGCCAUUAAGUCUUGAGAUAACAAGAACAUGUCUCUUGACCAUUAAAACAAACUUUAUCAUUUCAUACAAUCAAUAGCUUAGUAUCUCGAGACCUGUCGAGCUAGUCUCGAGACUACCUCAAUUAAGUCCUGAGACAAAGUGACUUUUGUCUCGAGACAAAAGUACAUCAAAUCUAAAUAAGUUUUGCCUUGUUCUAAAUCUUGAGACAAGAACCCCAUGUCUCAAGACAUACAAGCAUUGAAGCUAAAAUUUCUUAAAAUAAAAUGAGGCCUGUCUCGAGACAUGGAAACCCUUGUCUCGAGACAUUAUGUUGAACAUUGACAAAAGAGUUUGGAUUUGAAUCUUAAGCUCGUAUUAUACCUCGUUUAAAUCCUAAAUGAUUAAAUUAUGUUUGAAAUGUGUUAACGUGAUUUAAAUAUAUGGAAUGUUGUGUAUGUUUAAUAUGAGUUGUUUUGACAAUGUAAUGUGAUAUCACACAUUCUUAUUUGAUGAUCAAGUUGGGUGUGGGGUGUUACAUUUCUACCGUUAAAAACUAGUUAAACACAUCAACAUGAGAUACACAUGGCACGCCACAUGUCACAAAAUGCAAUCUGACUCCUAUUACAGGAACCUCUAUAGUACUUUCACCAACAUAAGACAAUAUAAGUAGGAGCCAAAUCAAUUUAGCAACCAAUAACACAUAUCUAGUGCGUUGACAUCGAAUCUCCAUCUCUUCCCAUUUGAUAAUGAACUCAGCGUGAGGAUCCGACAACCACAACAAACCAAAGGCCUUGCCAUAAACAAGUAGAACAUGCCCAAAAUGAAUAUUUGGGCCUAGCUGAAAGUGGAAGAAGCUCAUUGACACCUAAUCCUUGUCUUAAGCCCACACCCUAAUGAUUUCAUUUCCUCUAUUAUUAUCCAAAGUGGAAAUCAUAGUCGGAUCAUUCCACAUCGCACUAAGUUUUUGUCACAUUCAUUAACAGUCAUCAUUGCAAGAAUGAGACACUCCCAUGUUUUGUGGAAGAGACACCGCAAGUUCUUUGUAUAGUACAUAUCAAUCUUUACAGAACCGAAAUAACAAAAAAAGAAAAAGAAAAUUAAAAACUUACCAAAUCUGUGAUUAUUAAUUAUGUUCUAAGAACACGAUCCAAUGAGUUGUAUUUGAUCGAGACACAUAAACUAGACAUAAAUUAAACGAUUAUUGUGUACGACUAAGUAAAUUUAUUGAAAAUAAUACUUGGAUUUGAGAAAGACAAGUUCAUGUUAUGGCACAACAACCAGACAAACACUUGGAAAAAAAGACUACUCUGUCUGUAGAAGUUUCAAAGCUUUUUCGGUAGACCAGACCAGUAGUUGGCUGUUCUUGGAUGUACUUGCUUGUCUGUUUUUGUUGGGAGCACUAUCAACUAUGACUCAUCUCCAUGACCCAUGUGAAGCACUCCAAUAACUCCAAGUUUUCUGUAACUUGGAAAAUGUAAUAAAUAAAAUUUUUAAUUAGGUUGGGUUAGUUCUUAUGGGCGCUGGUAAGGGCAAUGUUGUAAUAUGACAGAUGACUGCCAUUGGGUGGUAAUUAGUAAAUCAACUUCUAUGAUCUAUCCUUAUUUGCUGGCUGCAAUCAUAGUCUCAAAGCCAGGUCUGGGGGCUUUCAAGUUUUGACACAGGUACAACAACCCUUCCAUAAAUCUGUAUUUUAAACCAUUUUUUGGUUAUGAAUUUCAUCACUUUAUAAACUCUGGGUGUUUGUAGCUGGUUAUGACCUUUUGGGGUUGGUUAAAUCCUAGCAUGCUAGUGACCCAUUUCAUAGUAUUUAAUACUCAUCAUGAAUUCAUGAUUUAAUGCACUUUUUUUACUAUUAUAUAUGUGUGUAUAUAUAUUUCAGCUUACUUGGUUCUUUGUCCAUGGAGACGAAAUACAAGAUAGUUUGUCCAAGAAUGUGAUGCUAGAUUGUUUGUUGUUUUGCCUUAAACAAGUUCUAUCUGUCACUGGCUUAUUGCAGUCAAUUAUACGUAUGUUUCACUAUGACUGAUGGUUGCUUUCAAUAGUAAAUUAUAUCUCCGGCGAUGUUAUCAUUCAUAUCCCUGCCUUUGGAAAAAAUGGCAUUUAGGCAAGGUGUUGGGUUUUGGUACGGGUUAGUUAUGGCCCUUUCACCUUGUCAUUGUCUCUGCGAAAUACCCUUCUGCCAUUUAAGUCCAGUUCCUUGCUAGGGACUUGCUUAUCUCCCAUAUGUUAUAUACACACACACAUACACACAUGUAUGUAUCAGCUCCUUGAGAGGUAAUAAUUCUUGCUUGCAUGAUUGUAUCCCUAAUUUACAGAAUCAGCUCCUUGAGAUGAAAGUAAUUUGCAUAUGAGGAAGUCUUUCAUCGACUAAAACUCAAACUUUUGCCUGUCUUAUAGUCAAUUUCGACUUCGACUUCCCCCCCCCCCCCCCCNNNNNNNNNNNNNNNNNNNNNNNNNNNNNNNNNNNNNNNNNNNNNNNNNNNNNNNNNNNNNNNNNNNNNNNNNNNNNNNNNNNNNNNNNNNNNNNNNNNNCUUGGUUUUACAUAUUUACAUGUUUCAUUACAAAAGUUUUGGUUAUCGGAUUAUGUUUAUGUUCAUGAUGUUCUCGGUUCAAUUUUCAGAUGGAAGUGCAAAAUCCUCAACAUGGGCAAUAUAUUGAAAUAAAUGUGGAUGUUGGUCAAGGCCAAAGGCGUAUAGGAGGGAGUAAGUUUUGUGGGGAAGCACCUUGUGGAUUUUCUGAUGCCGGUACUAGCUCUAAGGAUGCCGAAGAAAGAUCGGCUUCCAUGCGCAAGCUUUUAAUUGCCGUGGUGCUUUGCGUCAUCUUCAUGAGUGUAGAAGUAGUGGGAGGCAUCAAAGCCAAUAGUCUAGCAAUAUUAACUGAUGCAGCACAUUUGCUAUCUGAUGUUGCAGCUUUUGCCAUAUCCUUGUUUUCGUUAUGGGCAGCUGGAUGGGAAGCUAAUCCUCGUCAAUCAUACGGAUUUUUUAGGAUCGAGAUUCUCGGGGCCUUGGUUUCUAUCCAGUUGAUAUGGUUGCUUGCAGGAAUUUUAGUGUAUGAAGCCAUUGUUAGACUCAUUAAUAACACAGGUGAGGUGUAUGGAUUUCUAAUGUUUCUUGUUGCUGCUUUUGGAUUAGUGGUUAACAUUAUCAUGGCUCUAUUAUUGGGCCAUGAUCAUAGUCAUGGUCACGGUCAUGGCCAUGAUCACGGUCAUGGUCAUAGCCAUAGCCAUAGCCAUAGCCAUAGCCAUAGUGAUCAUAGUCAUGGUGUGAGUGUUACCACGCACCAUCACCACGAGGGACACUCCACAGGAGAACACCACCAUCAUCAUCAUCAUCCCGAGGGGCACUCCAAGACUGAGCACAGCCAUCAUUACGAAGAGACUGAGCAUGUCAAAGACGAGGAUCACCACCACGACGUUCACAAAGAACAGUCAAAGCCACUGCUUGAUAAGCCAAAGAAACGAAGGAACAUAAAUGUCCAAGGAGCUUAUCUUCAUGUACUAGGGGAUUCCAUCCAAAGUAUCGGAGUAAUGAUUGGAGGGGCAAUCAUAUGGUACAAACCUGAAUGGAAAAUCGUCGACCUGAUCUGCACGCUGAUAUUUUCAGUAGUUGUUUUGGGGACUACCAUCAAAAUGUUGCGCAGCAUACUCGAAGUGCUGAUGGAGAGUACGCCUCGAGAGAUCGAUGCAACAAAGCUGGAAACAGGGCUAUUGGAAAUGGGGGAUGUUGUUGCCAUUCAUGAGCUGCAUAUAUGGGCCAUUACAGUGGGGAAAGUCCUCUUGGCUUGCCAUGUCAAAAUCCGACCCGAAGCUGAUGCAGACAUCGUCUUAGACAACGUAAUCGAAUAUAUCAGAAGGGAGUAUAAUAUCAGUCAUGUUACCAUUCAGAUUGAGCGUUAAAAUGGUAGACAAUAAUUUAGAGCAUGCAUGGACCUCAUUACUCUACAUAUAUUUAUAGUUGCCAUAAAUACUGGUCCAUAUCCAGUAUUUAAUCAGUAGAUGUUAUGUAAAUUUCCUUUGUUGAAUCAUUGUUUUCAGUCAAUCCAUGUUUGGUUGCUUGAGCUUGAAGCAAAAGACAGAUAUUCAAUUCAAUUACACAUUAAUGUAAUGAAUUUGAAGGCAAAAGCAAUUUAAUCAUUUUAAUCUUCCAUAACAGGAGGUAGCGAUGAACAUAAUGAUAAACACUCAAUGUGCACGAUAAACUUACAAGUUAAACAACCAUAGACAAACCCGAUUUUUGGGAUUUGAAGGCAUAUCAUUUGUGGAACUCCAUAACCCAACAGUCACAAACAAAGCACUCGAACUUAACGCUGUUGAACCCGGCUUCGGUCGCCAACGCGACAAACUCUUCUUUCGUUCGUUCUUUCCCACCGGGGUUUUGAGUCAUCAUUAGCAUAUCGAGUAGAAAAGUGGCCUUUGCCGAAGGAGUAGACUCGGCCAUAACAGGAACUACUGAAUCUACAACAAUGACUCUGCCAUUGUUCGGGAUGGCUUUGUAGCAGUUCUUCAACAAUCUCAAACACUUCUCAUCGCUCCAAUCAUGGAGAACCAACUUCAAAAAAAUAGCAUCUCCUUGUGGAACGUUUUCAAACAUAUCACCAGCAACAUGUUCAAUUCCUACACAAGGGAAGAUAUUCAUUAAUAUUUUGCCUAGGGAUAAAAAUAAAUCUAUAAGAAAUUAAACAAAGACUCACUUUCUUUAACUUAUAUUUGGUAGGUGAAAGAGUUACAAGCAAACGAACUUUUGAAGAAAUAACUAAGUAAAAAAAUUGAAGAGUCAAAGAUGAAUCAUAAAUUAUUGAGAGCUAAAGUAUAAUUUUAAUAUUAUACUAAUACUAGGUAAUUUCAUAAAAAUUUAAGAAAUCAAAUGAUAAAUCUACCAUUUGGAGUGGGCCAAGGCCAUUGCCUACCCCUUUGCCUUUGCCUCAGUUUGUGUUUUUUAUUGAUGAAAAUAAUUCCUAAGCAUUGAACAUAUAACCAGAUUAUUUAUUUCUAUAUAGAAGUUUUGUAGUAAUUUUUUAUAAAAUGAUAUUUGAAUAUAAACCAUGGUGAGAGAACAAAAAGGGAGCUUUGUUUUUAUGUUUUUGUCAUAAAUUUAUGAGAUUAAAACCUUAAAAUUGUUUAUGAAAUUUUGUUUAAAAGUCUAUUUUUAUUUAUAAGAGUUUUUAUGUCUUUCCAUAGAAACAUAAUUAUCCAAUAAAUAUAUUUUUAGAAGUCACUUUUCUUAAAUUGUCAAAACUAUUCAAUCAAGCAAUGUUUUUGGAAUUAGAUAGGUGGUCAAACUAUUUCGAUCAGUUUAGCAUAUUCAAAGCAAAUGAACUAUUAAAAACAAUUAAAAAAGUAAAAAAAAUUAUAAAAAUCGGUUCAACUGUGAUUCAAUCAAAAUUUUAGCCUUCUUUAACUGGUUUGUAUUGAUUCACGAGUUAACCAAUUUUUUACCUCAUAUCGGACAAAUAUCUUCAUCGAUUCUUGAUUUGACCAGUCUGGUCCAAUUCAGACAACAGGUUAUCAAGAGACGUAAUUUAUUACACCAAAAAUUCUAAUUUUUAGUUAUUUAAGAUAUUUCAUUUGUAACUACUAGAACACUACAUAUAUUUAAAUAGGAAAAAGAUGAUAAAUAUACCGGGAUAGGACGAGGCAUGUUGUAUAACAUGAGGCAAGUCGAAAUUAAUGCCAUUGAUGUUAGGGUAUUUGGAAGUGAUAUAGUGAAGUGUGAUACCAAGGUUACCACCCACAUCUACCAGUUGCUUUAGGCCAUGAAAACCAUCAUAAGAGUGGAGCAAUUUUUUGGUAAACAUUGUACUUAAAUUCAACAUGGCUGUGUUGAAAACUUGAUUGAACCUAUCAUCCAAUCCAGGGUACUCAAAGGCAUGUGCUCCAUGCACCCUGUUGAAGGCGAUCCCUCCUUCUAAAACCGCAUAUUUAAGUUGACACCUGCAAAUAAAAUCCAUCAAAUAAUCAAACAUCUAAUAAGUAAAAACUUUAAGAAAAUGGGCAACGGACCAGAUAACCAAGGAGACUAUAUCUUGAUUCAGGGCCAAGACAGGAGCUAACGACACAGCAUCUUCGUUAGGGAUGAAGUAGUAAGACACUGGGGAUAAACUGUAGUGUCUCUCAAGACCAACCACAGAGCAGCACAGCACGUUGUGGCUAGCCAAAAGUCUGGCAAUACGGUCCACCAUGAUUGGUGCACCCUGGUUCUUGCUAGGCAGUUGUGCUGCAAUAUCGGUGGCGGAGAGUUUGGCACCUGGACCUGCUUUUGCAAUUAUCUCCAAUAUCCCAAGCUCGCAUGCUGUUUGCAAGGCCAUAGGGAGGAAUGUUCCCAUCACAAGUUGGGAAGCAAAAGAAUAAGUUUCAUUGUCAUUUUCACCACUUACUUCCUGUUGCUGAGAUUCUAUUGAAGAAGGCAUAGCCAUUUGGUUCUUCAAUUAUCUCAACGCAGCUCAAUUGGUUUAAGAUUAGUGUCUUUUAAUAAUGGCUGUUGGGAGAGUUCAAGUCUGAUUUGUUUUAGUAUUAAAUUACUUUGCAUACAAUGCCUAGAAUUACUCAUAUUAUAUAUAAUGUGUUUCCGCACACUUGAACUCACGUCUUCUUGCAUUAGCAAUAAUACACAUACCAAUCGAAAAGAAAGUGUGAAUAUAUGUAUGUUAUAAGUGAAAUCUAGAAUUAAUUCAAAAAUAAUUCAAUAAAUGAAUAUAGGUAUCUUCAAUCUUGAUAGAAAUCUGCUUCAGAGACGGCUUCAAUAAUAUUUCUCAAGUUGUUUUCUUAAGUAUUCUAUGACGGCUCACUCCUUUUUAUUUUUGUCUUAUAUAUGUCUUAAAUUAUCUAAAAAACUUUAAAAAAAAUACAUUUUUCCGUAAAUUUAGAGUGUGAUUUGCGGUUUCCACGUAAUCUUUCUACUCGUUGUAUAAAAAUAUAUUAAUCAACAUUACUACUAAUUAUGAUCUCAAUCUCGAUCAAUCUGAAUCUCAGUUUAAUCAUGAUAAACCUAAUCUCAUUGGGUACACCAACUUUCAAAUGGAGUUGAUGAUUAAGAACAACGGUUAGGUAGCAAAUUAAUAAGUUUCAAUGCAGCUCAGUUUGGUCCCUUGCAUUGAUUUAAGUUUAUUGUCUUUUAACAAUGGCGGUUGGGAAUAGAUUUCCUCUGCCGAACUUAAUUAUUGUCCUUUUUUUAUACAAAAUAAUAACUAUUACACGUUAAUCUAGUACCCUAAGCUAAAGGAAGAAUUUUCUCUUCAUAUUUGAUCAAUCCGACAAGAGCAUCUGCAAUCGUAUUAGCCUCCCUCGAGACAUACUGGAUAACUACCUUCAAUUAUCUUCAGCACAAUUCAAUAAUUUUUAUAGCUUAAUCCCUAUUCAGUUAGUCUUGAAAUCUACCCUGAAUGGAUCCAAUAACAAGAACACAAUCCAUUUUUACGAUGACAAGUAAAUCUUUUUAAUAUUAAAAUUAAUUAUUUGUUAUUAAAAUAAUUAAAAUUUAUUUUGGAAAAAUUUAAAUUUGAUUUGUUUUAUUAAAUUUGGAUUUGAACUUUUUAGUUAAAGAAUUUUUAAGUUUGCUUUUUAUGGUUAGGAUUUUUCAGGUUUAGUUCUUUUUAAGUUUUUAAAUUUGGUGUUUUCAAAUUUAAUUCAAAUUAGGUAAAGAGUAAGUUCAAGCUUGGAUUUUAUAAGUCAUGUUUUUAAAUUUCGUGAUCUCUAUAUAUGAAGAUUGAAUUGAUUAUAGAAACUUAAAAUUAAUUAAAGUGGCGGAGUAAGGAAAGGGGUGAUCAGCUUCGAUCCCUUAAAACGGAAAUUUUUUCCUUUAAGUUUCUUUUUUAAUUUAUAAAAUUUUAAAUUAAUAAUGAUAAAAUUACACUUUAGCCCUUCAAAAUGAUAAAAAUCUGAUUUAAUCCUUUAAAAUUAUAAAAUUAUAGACUAUUAAGAUAAUAAAUGUAAUAGGCCCAAUUCGGCCUAGCCCGAUACAGAUAUUAAAAACCAAUAAUAAGCAAUCCAAUCCAAUAAUGUCAAUCUAACUUUUCAAGCCCGAUUACAGACCCAAAUACAUGGCCCAAAUCACUAACCCAAAAGACCCAACUAAAACCCAAACCCACUAGCCUAGAAACCUUUAGCCCAAUGAGCCCAAAACGCAAAACAGGAGCAAGGAACCCUAGCAGCUUCCAGCGCCGUUCUCUCCAGCCACGCACGCCUCCGUACAGCCUUCCCUCGCACGUACGCCACUGCCACCUUGACCCAGCCUCACGCGAGCCUCCACAUCACUGCACCUGACACCGUACUCGUACCUGCACCCGCAACAAAUGCCUACAAAACAAGCAAAGACAGAACGCAAAAGAGAAAGGAGAAUAGCAGAAAAAUAGGAGAAAAAAUGAUGUAUUUUUUUGAUUUUAUUUUCGAUGCGGUUAUAAAGCCAUUUUGAGAAUCAACACACAGCGACAGAGAUUGUAAAAACAAACUCAGAAAAAAAUAUCAAUACAACAAAGGUUUUUUUUCUCUCUUGGCGAUUCAGUUUUUUUUUUUCUUUUUAUCGUUCUUCUUUCUUUUCGUUCUUUGUUUUGUUAUUAAUACAUACAUAAGCAUAUAUAAAAUUAAAAGAAAUAGGGGAGAGACUCACCUUCCGGUUUGAGGCCGCCGGACCUCAGUCGCUUCGUCGAAAUCGAAGUUCGAGAGGGGGUGCAUCAGGGUUGCAGCGGAGAGAAAAGGAGAUCCUUUUUCUGUCUUUUAGAAUGGUUUAGGGUUUAUUUCCUUUUUCUUUUUCAUUUAUGCCUGAAUGACUCUUAUCUUCGGGUUUUUUUUUAGAUUUAUUUUAAUAUCAAAACGACGCCGUUUGGAGUCUGAUCAGUGGCUCCAAAACGGCGCCGUAUUGAGCUCGACCCGCGUGUGUGACCCGACCCGGGGAGGAUCCGCGCGUGCUAUCUUUCUGGUCUAUUUGCACUAUGAGCCCUUCUUCAUUUGGGAGUUGUUCGAUUCAGUUUUCUUACCAUUUUCUUAAUUUGUACCGCACAUUUUAUUUUAUUUUCAUUUCGAUCCAAAGACAAAUGACGUCAUUUUAUCAAUCAGAUUUGAAUCCUUGCACUUAUGCGUUUAUUUGCAGUUUUAGUCCCUCGAUUUUUAAUCCAGUACAAAUUUUAUCUUUCUUUUACUUUUAUUUAUGUUUGCUACCAAUUAAAUUUUGUUUUAAUUUCAAUGUAAUUUUUGUUCCAUUAUUUUCUUUUAUUUCGUUUUUUUAUUUUAUUUCCUUUCAAUUUCGACUAAGCUUUUAUUAACUUAAUUUAAAAUUAAAUUAGUUUUAUUUUGACGUAGUUUAUUUUUUAGUAUCAUUUGAAUAUUUCAAAUUAAUACUAUGUUAAAUUUAUUAGACAUAUUUUUUUAGAAAUUCAUUAUAAACUUUUAUUUUGAAAUGUAACAUCUUAUUAUUUAAUUCAUCAUUUGUUAAUACAUGUAUUUUAUGAAAAUUCGAUAUAACUUGUAUGUAUUUUAAUGCUUUAUUUCAUAUUAUAUCUUAAAAUUCACCCCUUUUUAUAUAUAUGGACUACACGUUUGAUGUUUACAUGAUAACAUUUUUUUCUUAAUGCUAGUAUUCUUAUGUAUGACUUAAAUUAUUCUUUUCUUCGGUAUAUCGUUAUUCUAAUCUUAUUAUACCUAUUAAAAUGUUAUUGAUGUGUUUAUGUGUUCAUUUGAAAUUGAUUUUAUUUUAAAAAGAAAAGAACUCACUUUGAAUCCUUUAUAUACUUCAAUAUUUAUGUAUAUAUGUAUUAUUACUGUAAUGUUUUUAUCUUAUAUGUAUUGCUUUUAUUAAAUUGAUAUAUGUAUGAAAUUCGCUUCGAAUAUAUUUCAAAUUCAACUAUUCAAUGGUUAUUUUAUUUCAAAUCUAUUCUGAACUUGCAUACGUAAUAUAUUUUAGAACUUUUAUACAUAGGAUCUUUUUAUCUUGAAGUAUCUUUAAUUUAGCUUUUGAAUAUUGAUUUUGAUAUUUGCAUAAAAUGAUUAAGAUUAUUGGUGUUAGUCUUGUUUGUAUUUGCCUAUUACUUGCUUAAUUGCUCCUCAGUGUAAGUUUAAGCUGUUAUUUAUCUCUUGCAUUAUGUUUCGCUCUUCUAUCAUAAUUCGUUGGUAAGAAUUGUUUUAUUUUAAAGCACAACAAUCAUUCCAUUUCACAAUAAAAACCUAGCGUUUAUAUUUCUUGAGGGAAUUGUACCCUAACUUACUGGGUUCCAAUUCUUCUCGAUAAAUUUAGAUCGCUGUGUGCUUAUUUCAUUAAAACAGUACAAUUUAAAAACGAAGCAACUAGGAUUUCAGAAUGUGGGAUCCUAACUUACUGAAUGUGACAUUCUGUUAUCCCGAUUUUAAAAUAAAGGUAAUGUUCGGUAUUUGGGAAUUUGGUGAAAUCAAACCCUAACUUACUGGGUUUUGAUCUUCUCUUUUGGCCCAAAUAAUCAGAUACCCUCCUCAAAAUGCAUAGUUUUAAAAAUCAAAUUUAACUUCAAAAUAAAAGGAUCGUAUUUUAAAAUCUUUUCAAAAUUUCGACAUUAAGACAUUAAACAAUCGAUUCGGUACCAAUUCUGGGCAUUACGAGGGUGCUAACCCUUCCUCGUGCGUAACCGACUCCCGAACCUGUUUUUCUCAAAAUUCGCAGACCAAAAAUCAUUUUAAUGGUGAACCGGUCACACUUUAAUAAAAGAUCGGUGGCGACUCCCAUUUCUAUUUUCAAAAUCGAUACCCAUUUUUCAAAUCUCAAAAAAGUGGUUUCAACAAUAAAAUUACAUUUUUAUUGUAAAAAAUAUAAAAUUUAAUUGGUAGUGGAAAAUAGAAGUGGGUGUUGGAUUGAAUUAAGUAAAAAAAUUUUAAGUUAAUUGAAUUGUUCAGUUCUAUUUUAUCAUCUUAACUCGAUUUGAAAUUUUUUCGAAUUGAAUUGUUCGAGUUAACUUAAAAAAUUAAACAUGUUAAAUUAAAAUCUUGUUACAGUAUAACUAAUUACAUAUUAGAGUACAUAAAUUUGAAACCAUGUAUAUUUAAAAACUUUUUCAAAGCAAAAUAAAAUAAAAAGAUACUUUAGUAUGAUAAACUUGAAUCAUUAAUUAACUUAUUUAGGUCCCAAAAUUUUUAUUUUAGAACAUUUUUAAAAUUAAUAUUCUUUAUAUAUUCUUUAGACUUUUUUAUGAUUUUUAAAAAAUAUAUAAAUAUUGGAAUUUUAUAAAUAUUUUAAAGUUUAAAAAUUAUUUUGAAUUUUUGAAAAAAAAUUGUAAUUUUUGUUGAGAAAGAUCAAUUUGUUUAUUUUCAAAAUUGAUAGAGACCAAAGGGAUAUUUAGACCAAUCUGUUAUUCGAAUUAUUCGAGUUAUUUUAGUUAUUCGAAUUGUAAAGUGUAAAUCGACUUGAACUCGAAACUCGAAUAAUUCAAAUAACUCGAUUCGAUUAACUCGAAAUUCAAUUUUUUUUUAAUUUUUUCGAAUCGAAUCGAGUUUUGUUCACCCCUAAUUAAAAUGUACAUGAUCUAAAGCAAAUUUGGCUUUGCGAUCCUUACAAAGAAACAUCCCUUUUCUGUAGACACCAUAAGUACUAUUGUAAUACCCAAAAUUUCCAAUACAGUACCACCAGAAAUGUACAAGUAUAAUUAUCAAGUAAAUAGGUUGAGAUUACUAGAAUAAAUUAUGUUGGAGAUGAAUUAGAUAUUUGAAGAGAAAGUAUGGAUAAUGAAAUUUAAUAAGGACUAAAUUGAAAAUUUUAAAUAUUAAAAAUAUAAAUUUAUCAUAUAAAAAAAUUAUGUGUGGUUGAAUAAAAUAACUUUUUAUGAAUGUGGCGUUGAAAUAUAUUGAUACGUGGAAAACCGAGCUGUAGGUUAAAUUGAAUAAAAUGAAAAGUUUAAAGAUUAAAAUGUAAGUUUAUUAAUUUGUGGAAAAGGGAUUUAAUUUGCAAUUUUACCAUAGUUAGAUAUUUUGACAACUGUAUGCUAGGAGCCCAUGCUUGGUGAAAAGACUGUCGAUUAGAUGAAGUUUGAUUGGUUGGUAAAAUGGAUGGAUAAAAUAAAAUUAAGGUAAAGUUAGAAAUAAGUAUGAGUAAUUUUAUUAUGUUAUUUUAGUUUUUUUUUUUGUGACAUUAAAACAUUGCCUAACUAAUUACAUAGAAAUAUGCUCAAAAGAAGAAGAAAAAAUACUCUUUGUCUUGUUUAUUUCUAGAGAAGCUAGAACAGUCGUAGGAGGGAGAUUAAAAGUCUGCAAAUCUUCUUUUUUCGACCAAAGCUAAUUUGGCUAAAUAAUUUACAGCAUGAUUUUACUCUGUAGGAUAUAGCGUAAGAGUUAUUGGUUUUAUUGUGACAAAAUACUUUGAAUUCGUCUAAUCAAGGUUGAGUUUGAUGUGGUGAUACACUUCUUUGAAUUGUCUGAUUAGAUUAUUUCUCUGCUAUGGCCUCUACAUUAGAUAAGCUUGAGGCCCUCCAAAAUGUCUCAAAAUUCUGCAUAAAAAAUCGAACACUUCCCUAAAUAUCGGUUAUACUUAAAGACCCAAUCUCCAUUCUCAUCAUGCACUACUCCCCAAAGGCUGCAUUUUCUGAAUUCAAUUGCACCCCAUCGUCGGUAUUGAUGAGGAUCCGAAAUAGUAUAUUACAAGGUAAAGUCAGAAAUAAGUAUUAGUAGUGUUAUUAUGUUAUUUUAAUUUUAAUUUAAUAGUAAGUGUAAAAUGAAAGUGAAAGACAAAUUUUACGAAGAUUUAAGAAUUAUUACUUCAAUUUGGAUCACAACACUCUUCAAGCUGCAAGUUUAAGCUCUUUGAUAUAUAAAUUUUGGACCUGCAAAAAAAUGUGAUACAACUACACUGCACUUUGUGUACUCUUUGUAGUAAAUGAGAGGGUAUUCAUGUUUUGGACAUGUUAGAGCACCGAGUGUCAAAGCAAUUACACAACGAGGACAUGCAUAUGUUUCUUAUAUUCAAUACAUGUAUAAGCAAAGGCAUUAGACUCGUAACCACAUUUUUCACAUCUAAAAAUUUUGCCCCGGUAAGCAUGAGAGGUUUUCCAAAUUUAUGAUGCCCAAACUGUUUCAAUCUAGGUAACACAACACAAGCUUUAUGAAGAAAUAAAUCACAUUGCAGACACUAAUAAAAUGAAUCCAAGAGAUGUAACAUGCACCAUCACAACUUUUAUCUUACUCUGUGAUUGUUUCACUAUCCGGUGCAAUAGCAAUCCUCUGUUACGAAAUGACCAACCAUGCUAACUGCGAACUACGAGCUCACUAAAAGAUACGAGCUCACCUACGAACUGCGAGCUCACCAAGAACUACGAGUUGACCAAAAUAUACGAGCUCAUCAAAUGUGCAAGCUCACCAAAGCAUGAGAGCGAGCUCACCAAGCAUGAGAGCUUACCUGCUAACUCUUCACUCUGUAAGUUGUCAACUUGCCAACUUGCACUAAAACUGUGAUAAAUUUUGAUUAAACAUUUUAGCAGGCGAUUGGACAGAAACCAGCAAAUAAAAAAGAAAGUUACAUGAAUCUAGUCACUGAAUUAAACCAAGUUGUAAUAUUUUAUUACUAUUUUUUAGCUUAUUUAAGCAUGAUUUUUCAUGUAAACUAUGCAUCAGUUUUUUAAUGAAACAGUUUUUAACGAAACAAUUCACCAAAAAUUAACUUCUUCAUUUUUUAUCUUUUGCUUCUGUUUCAAACUCUCCUUCAAAAAUCCAACAUCCUCAUACCAAUUCAAAGAGGGCACUUCACAGUCAAUCCCUUCCGUUGCAUCACCAAGUGUCAACAUGGCAUAGACUGUAUUUUUUAGAUUUCCUUUCCCUAGCAGUCCAUACAUCCCAAGUCCAGCCUUUAUCGAGGAGUCGGCGGCUGAUUCCCUCAUCGGAAUCCACCAUGCAAGCAGCAUCCAUCAUCGUGCGAAAUACACUCAAGCAACGCCGAUGAUUGUGUUCAGGAUGUUGACGGUCUAUGUGCCUAAUUUUAGGGUUCACGAGCAUGUUACAUACAAAAUUUAAGGGUAUUUUUUAAAAAAGAAUUAAUCAUUAUAAAUUUUUAAUUAAUGUAUAGACUAUCAGUAUACCCCAAUCGUAUUGUAAUUAUUCGAGUUUUGCUAGUAGAGAGAUCAUAUUGUAAUUGAAUUAAAUGAAGUAAUAGAGAGAGUAUUGAUGUAAUUCAAUUGACUAUAUGUAGAAAAAUUUGUAUACUGUAUGCGGUUUAUUCCCAAAAAUCACUCAGUAUGCUCAUUAUCGUAACAUAUCAAGUGGGCACUUGUACUAUUAUAACCUUCACCCUAACAUUGAUUAUACUUUUUGCAAUGGCCUCCCUCUCAUUUUAAUCUAUCUCCGCUCAAAUUCGAGUUGAUUGAGAUUGACCUUUUCAUAUGCUACGACAUUGAGGAUUUUGGAUUUUGAUAAACUAUAUAUAUUAUUGAAUUUUUGGCAUCCAAUUCCUGGUUUAGGAGCAAAAGAAACAAUGUAUCGUAUACCCUCGCAUAUGAUCAAACACGUUUGCAACAUAGCCUAAGACAUUAAGAUGAACCUUUUGGCAUGCUACAUAAACGCGCAAACAUGGGUAUCUAUCCGCUUGAAAAUGCCCACAGUCACAAUGUUGCGCUAGAAACUCGAUCUUAUAGUUACUAGGUGGUACCCUCCCACCAAGGGUCUACUUUCCUCAACCCGAAAUGUGAGAUGCUCACUGGAGUAAAUGUAGACGUGAUGACCAUUUGCGGCAUGUUCAUUAGCAUUCAGUCUGACCUGAACAUCCUUAAUGAAGGUGUGUUUGCCACCAAGAGCCUCAGCAAUUUCCUCUCUCAUUCAAACCAAAAGUUCAUUGAAUCGAUAGUAGCUAGCUUCGACUAUGACUAAGACUGGGAAAUAACGUAUGGACUUCAAAACUCCAUUUGCGUACUUGAAAAGGUUGGUUGUCAUAUGCCUCCACAUUCGACCUUUCUCGUACACCUACGCCCACUGGUCCAGUCGAAGGCUUUAGAUAAACUCUCUCGUUUUGCUAUCCACAACCUUGGUAAGGUUCACCCUCUGAUGGAAUUUGAGGUGAACCAGCUCAUAAGCUAUUCAACGUUAUGUGAACUUUAGGGUUAGUAGAAGAAGGUUGAACGUAAACCAUAAUCUGAAAUUUAUGGAUGUCAAUCGGUACAUACUUGCAUUUACAACUUGUUGGCACUAUUCCUUAGCAUGUGUGGCAUGGUAGAUAUUCUUAACGACAUGGUGAAUGUAGAAGACAUGGACUCACGGUUCAUUCCAACCAUUCUAUUGGUUCCGUACCACUAUCGCUAGUCCUACAGCUUGAUCAGAUAUGAAACACAAUCCAUCCAUGUCUCGAGUGACAUAUAAUCACAUCGGUAGCACUGAUUCAACAUCUUCUAUGCUAAGUUGUGUAGCAGUCAAAGCCAUCCAAGCUACUUUCCAAUGAAAUCAUAACGAUUUCAAUGCACAAAAUCUAAUAAAUAAAGGCAUUUUGUUUUUUAUUUUCAUUUUCAUUAUCCUUAAAAGCAACAACAAAGGUAUAAAAGCAUUGUUUUGUUUUCCAUUUCCAUUUUCAUUAAAAACGGCAACAAAAACACAUGUUUUUGUCUUCAAAAACUUUAGAUAAUCAAAAUACUAUAAUUUUGCUUGUUUCCAUUGUUAUGGGAAACAUUUUUUCGUUUUGCCUUUUCAUUGCAUAGUUCACUAAGCAAAAAGGUAGAAGAACAAUAAUGAAGACAAAGGCAUUUAGAUUCAGUACUUACUUUAAUGCUUCUAUCUCAGAGGAGUUUUUAAUUCAUACAAGCCUAUGAAAACGAUUAAGUCAAUGUAGAUAUUAGAUAGUACAACACCACCUACACGAAAGGGUCUCGUAAUGCUAGUCUUUAAGAUCAACAUAUGAAAAGGAAAUAAGAUAUGGGGAAAAAAAUUAGGGAUUGCAUGCAACAAACAAACAUCGCAUUUGUUAAUUGCAUGCAAUAGCGUAAAAGUCAAGUCGAAGCUUCCCCUUCUAAGCGUACCCUCUUGGGACCUCUCUCUUCACCUUGACUGCCGGUGUUCAUCACUCUAUUUUCCUUGGCUUCCACAGAACACCUUUUGUAAGGUUUAAAUCCAGUUCGGCUGGCCUUAAGUUUUGCAUGUCCUAGUCCAAUCCUCAGCAGGCCGUCUUCUGCAUUGUUCUUCUCAUCUUUUGAUAAUGCAUUUUUCUCUACUUCUUGACUGUCGGAACGAGAAUCUAACAUCUUUCUAUUAAGGUCUAAUGUUGAUGUCUCUCUGUCUUUCUCGACUGGAUUUUGCUUGUCUGCACCUACAUUUUCCUUUUGCUGCCCCUUGUUCUUUCCAUCAUGUGGAGGAGAGAAGCUUUGUGGAAGUACCUCUCUGGAGAAGAGGGCUUGAAAAGCCAGUCGUCCCUGAAUAAGUAGUGAAGCCGUAUAUCGAUCAAUGUACAAUACAAUUAGAAUAAUAAUCAAGUUAAGAUAUAUAGGAAAAUUGACACAUCGACUCACCUCUUCAGAUACCUCCUUCCAAGAAUCACUAAGGUUACUGCUGCUUCUACUACGACGGUUACAUUCAACUUGUGGAUGAUUUGGAUCAGCUCCUUUUGGAUCUUCCUUGUCUUUUUCAAGUUUUUCUAACAUGUCUGUCUCUACCUCACUACUUGAAUUGGAACCACAUGAGGACCGGUCAACUUGUUUUCUGUUCUUCAUUUUAUCUACAUCCUGAGGCUCGAUCACUUCAGCAGCCUUCUCAUCAUCAGUAGCUUUCACUUCAGUAUUCGCUUUCGCAUCUACUCUCUCUUCACAGUCUGAUGAUGAUGAAGUAGGUGAUUUAGAUGCUGAAUGCUGACCUUGCAAAGCUUCAGAGUAUUCGGGGUCUAGUCGCUCAUCCUGAGUAGUUAGGGCUAGAUCAGUUUUAUCUUUUUGUUCCAUAUUUGCAGCUGGAGUUUGACCAUUCUCCAUUGGUGGAACUGCAGCAGUGGAUGCAGGAGCACAGGUAAAGCCUGUGUGCAGAGGAGCACAUACAGGAAGCAGUCCAUGGGCGGUCCACCAUGCAGUGGCAGCUGCUACUGUUGCAGCAGCAAUUGCGGCCAUACUAGGAGCAGAGUUCGUUUGUGUAGAUGGGAAACCUCUUAGUUCAUUUGCGGGAGAAUCGCCAGAACUUUCAACAUUUGCAUAUGGCCAAAAUGUAGCUGCAAAACUUGCUGCAGCAUGAGCAGCUGGAUUCUGUAACAAAGUAGAUACAAUGAGAUUGGAAAAAGUGGAGGAGACAUGUAGAAAUGAUCGAUACUCCUCUUGAUCGGGCCGAAGAUGUAUAAAGGGAAUAUGAAAAGGUGGCAAUGCCUGAUGAGUAGAUUUUGGUGCAUUAUUCUGAUGUUCAGUAGUUGCCGAUGCAGCUGGAUUUGCAAACAGAUUAGGUCCAUGAACAUCGCCCAUAGGGUGAAAUACAGAAUCUUGAAAUGACAUACCCAGGGAAGGAUUUUGAACACAUGUUCUAAGGCUUCCAUCUAGGACAUGCACAGCAACAUGCCGAGGAUAAUUUUGAGCAGCUUGCAUCUCAUCUGCACAAAAAGCACCAUCCAAAUCAUCUUUUCUCUGGCCUUGAGCUGAUUUCUCAUAUGAAGUGCAAGACUUCUCCAAGUUUGAAGCCUUACUUGUACCAUUAUCAUGAAAUAUCUGUUGGACAUUAAAUUUAUAAGGUUCACAAAUUUCUUUAAGUUCAAGAAUAACAUAGAAUUCAUGUUUUUCAUGAUUUACUACCUCUUUUGGCAAAGGUACAAACUCCCUGAAUGUACAAGAGCUUUUGAGUGCUGCUGACAUUGGUAUAAAAUUCUUAUUCAUGGAAGACGCAGAGGAGCAGUUUUGUUCGUGGAGAAGGGUAAAAACCUCAGAGCAACUCUCGUCUUGAUUUUCUUUCAGAUUUGUAGCCUUUUCAUCUCCAGUAGGUCUCUGACAAACACAAUAUAUUUGAAGCUUACGUUAAAAAGAAGAAAAGAAAAAGAACAUAAUUAAGAGCAUGAAUAAAGUAGUUGAGGAGGAGAAAGAAACCUCUGGAAGUGGUUCUUUCUCCAAGUCCAACAUUUGCUUGCAAUGCAAAGAAGAUAAUGGCAUUUCAGAUUUUCCAUCCUUAGCUCCCUCUUGUACUGUAGUAGCAGCACUGGUUUUUCGAGGAUAAGGAUUGCUUGGUUUUCUUUUAGGGCGUGGAGGUGGAAUCUCUAUGUCAAGAGCUUGACCUAUUGGUACACCUUUAGCAAGUGCCUCCUUCUCCAACUGAGAAUGGAUUAUUGUCAGUAGCAUCAAUAAAAUGAAAAUACAUAAGAGAAAUCUUACGAGUUUUUGGAGGCACCAAUGAAGCAUCAAUAUAAUAUUAACAACGUGCAACACUAAAAUUAAUGAUAGGAAUGACAUAACUAAAUGCAACAUGAUCAUAUCUAACCAGUAUAAUUCCAAAUCUUAUCAGGAAACAAGAAGUCCAAGUAUAUAAUUGCUCUACAAUCUACAAAUAUCUCACAAAGGAGGUUCAUACAAAAUUUUAUACUCCUGUUGUCAAUUAAUAUGGCCUGUUUUAUAACAUUAGAUUAGAUUAGAUUCUUCUUUUAUCCUUUCAUCCCAUCACAUGUCUGCUCAAGACUCGUCAGCAAUAUAAUACUUGAAUGUAGCAGACAUAAACACAGCCCACGGUUGAACAUAUACAUAGACAAAGAUUGACUAAAUAAAAAAAGGGGGGCUGGUUUAGCCGAGCAAUCAGUUUUGCUCGGCUAAACCAACCCCCCAUUUUACUAGGAGAAGAGAGGAUUAGCUGUAUUUAGAUGAAAAGAAAAUUACCAGUGGUUUCUUAAGAAACACAGUUUAGGUACUGCAUAAAUAAGAUUAAUCAAACCAUCCAUGAUGUUCAUUGUCAUGUAAAAUUGAGAUCAUUAAAGGUUAGGACUUCAGACUGAAGAAAGUAUUUCAUAAAGCUUUAACCAUAAUAUUCUUGAACAACCUUCAUCUGCUUACUGUCCUGAUAAGAUUCAUCACUCACGAGCUAAUCGAGAUAAAAAUGUUAUGCAUGAAUUUGUUUGCGACAUCAGAAAUAUGAAAAGGAAAAAAAGAAGGAAGUAAUGCAUUACCAUGUACCUAACUUUAACAUAAUUGGCAGGUGACUGCCGAUAACCUGCAGGAAAUAAGUCUUUAAGAGAAGAAUCCAGUAAAAUCUUACUUUUACUGAAGAUGUAUACACUUAAGGAGGAUAAUCGCUUAAGACAGACCUAUAGGAUGCAUACCUCAAAUCUAACAUCAUAAUUAGCUACAAGGCACAUCUAACAGACAUGCUGCUGUGAGCUUGGCUGCAAAACUUAAGGUACUAUGGGGAAGAUUGAUCCCAGUAUGAUCACCUAGAAGGUAUAAUAUAGUUUCAAUUAGGACUUAUCUUUCUGAUUAAAAGAAAAAUAUGCAGAUCAGAAUGUUAUGUUCCACAUUACCAGGAAAGGAUAUUAGUUGUAUCAUAAAUGACAACAUCUAUAUAGAAGGUAUGAUCCUUAAGCAUAAAUGAGUACCUAUCUUGCAUUUCAAGCUCUCCCAAUUCCCAGAAAUGGAAGAAAGAAAAAUAAAAUUCAUUUUUUAGAUCUAACGAGCAUCUGGCUCACACCAGCAAUAUGGCUAAUGUUUAAAGAGAUUUCUCAUCAGUAAUCUAAAGUUCUAAACACAUCAACAAAGUCUAGAAUUCAACAAAUUCGUGUCAUCCCUGCUAGUACUACUACUCAUCAUAUCCACUCUAAUGUUAGAUAAGAUCAUUUGGUAUUAUGAGAUCAACAUCUUCAACAGCCAUAAACUAAGUAGAUAUAAGCCCUAAACUUCCACCACAUAAAGGAGAUUAUAAGCCCUAAACUUCCACCACAUAAAGGAGAUAAUAAAAAGUAGGUAAUAAAAUGCAAAAAAGAUAUAAGCCCUUGAAAUAUUGUCUUGAAAGGAUGUGAAACUUGCCACUAUAAAAGCUUUUAACAAAAAAAUGAUCCUAAAAUCAAAAGCUAGAAGCUAUCAAAUUUACUCUAACUGCAGAUUCAUUGUCAACCUUGGAUGCUGAUGAAUUGAACUAUUAGCAACCUUGAGAUACUCUACACAUUAAGGAUACAGUAAGCGGUAAUCCUAACUUGCAAUGACUAGCAUACUGCCCAUGGAUGCUGAAGAUUUCAGUUUAAACCAGAACCAAAAUCUAGGCAUAUAAUAUAGCAACGAAGAACAUGAUAGGUGGGCUCACCCCAAAUUCACUUCCUAGUUCUAUACCUCAUAAUGGUGUAUUUUUACUUUGUAUACAAACUCACUUCUUAGUUCUUACUAUACCUCAUAAUGGUGUGUUUUCACUCUCUAUACAAAUUUAGACUACAUGUAUCUACAUGACCCUUUUAUCCGAAGAAACCAAAUAUAUUAACUUUCAAAACCUCUGCUGCGGUAGGUUAAGUACUAAAUUGCUUCAGCAAGUUCAAAAGUGACCAGACAAGAGGAUGCCUUGCACAUAAAAGGUUAGUGAAAGGCAUAUUAGAAAGAAACCUUUUAUGACAACUUAAAAAACCAAAAAUGCCCUUUUUUAUUUCGGACUCCAAGGAUGAUAAACCAUCUUGCGCAGCCAAUUUCAUACAGAGACCAAAUAAAUAGAAUUCAAAUAGCUUACAUCUCCAAAAUCAAAUUUGUAGAGAAGAUAAAAGGCUAUCACCCUAAAUAUGGUUUAAAUAUUUAGCAGCUCAGAUUCUCAUUUAACUCAAGUUGCUGCCUUUUCUAUAUAUAUUAAUAAACAAACUCCAGUGUACUUCUUUACAUAAUUGGUUAUAAUUUUGAUCGGUGAUAUAUGAUUGAUGUUUUUGACACAGAAAGCUAUACAUUCGCUUCAUAUAUUUUCUUUGUUGUUUUAAAUCUAACAAAUUUGUUUAUACAAGAGAGAAAAUGAAGUAAUAGAAUAAUCAGUAAGAUUUCCCAACCGUUCAAGAUAGUACAGUUGACGAUUCGAUAUUUCAUAUUUCUCAAGCAGAAACAAGAAUUAAGCAGCAGAAAAAAAAAUACAUUGAACAUAGGCAUAAGCAUAAACAAGAAGGCACCAAAUGACCUUUGAAAAGAACUUUUGAGCAUGACUCCUGAUCUGCACAGCCGUCUUUGUUCCUAUAUAUUCUGCAAAUCACCAUGUAAAAACAAAAUGGAAAGAAAAUUACAACAAUAAAUAACAAAACUAUUCUUUUGUUGGUCCUAACAAACAUAUCCUACGUAUCUUAGCCUCAAUCCACAAAAACACUAGCUCUAAAAUGAUAGCAGCAAAAUCUAAACUAAGAGGGAAAAAGCAAGUGAAAAAACCUUCAAUGCGUUGCCAAGCUCGUCCAUAGAGCUUCAAGGCCUCUAGGAACCUAUUAUGCUCUUCCUCGGUCCAUCUUUCACGUUGUUUCGUAAUAGUAUAAGGCUUCCUAGUCUAUCAUUUAACAUACAAAAUUCAAUGGUCCAAAUUAUAACAAACAGAAACCCCCAUUUUUUUACAAAGCUUCAUUUAAGAGAAGAGUUUACCUUAAUUACAAGUUCUUCACCAGAGGAGUAUGUGUCCAUUGAAACAGCGUCACCGCUGCUUCAAAUCCUCUCUAGCAAGCAAAGAGUAUAUCACAAACCUCCUUUCAUUUCUUCCAACAUCCAGUACGACAAAUAGUAAUGCCGUUUUUGAGCUCCACAAAACCUGAUGAAUGCUAUUUAAUACUGCAAAAAGAAAAAACACAAAAGAACAACAACAACAAAUCGAUGGAGAUCCGUCUCUGUUUCUAUUUUUAUUCCAAUUAAAUUAAUAUUAAUUUCUCAUCAUUUAAUAAAAAUAUUUACUUGAUAAAAAUUUGGGGUGAAUGCUAAAUCUCUGGAAAAAUUAAAAUAAAAUAAAUAAAAAUUAAGUAUCCACAGUAACAAAGAGAAGAGACGGCUUCUUCCAAAGAACUUAAAAGAAAAUUCUUACCAAAACGAACCGUAGACGCCAAAACCUUUAAUAGAAAAUGAUACGAAAAAAAAAAAAGAAACUUUAAUUAGUUAUCAACAACACACUUCCACUGUUCCACAUCCAAUCUAUCUAUUAACAGCCAAUAAUAGUUCUUUACCUUCUUUUUGGUUGCCGAGAGAAAAAACAAAAGGAUUCAAAUUCAAUCACUUUUCUUUCGUUUCUCUACUCAGCUGCAUAUAAAGAACACAACUUCCAAACUCAGCUUAGCAAAGCCUAUAAGGAAAGCCCUAGAAAUGAAGUGUAAAUACCUUAAAGAGAUAACCAUGGAAGAUGGCAACAAUGGAAGCAACGAUCACGUAUCAAAAAUAGGUUCACCGGAAACCAGCCGGAGAGCUCAUAGUUUCCGGCAAUGACAAGAUCGGAAUCAACAGAAUUGGAAAAAGAAAAGUUGUCUUUUUUGGGAGAAAAGCACUUGAAUAAACCCAAAAAAAAAAGUGAAAGCAAGCUUAUUUUCUGGUGAUAAACUGAAAAAACACCAGAAACUACAGUAUGGGGAAGAAACAAAAGGAGAAAUCUCAGCCACUACAAUUUCAUGAGGAUUUAUUUUUUGGAAAAUUACAAAAAUUGGGCAGAAAUUUAUUUGAGGCUAUAAAAGAAUGAACGGUAAGAUACAUUAGAUGUUGCCAAGUGGCAAUAAGUUAGUGGCUGAUUCAACUAAAAGCCCACCCUUGCACUUUUUCCCUUAUUUUUUUAUCUUUUUUUCUUUUUGCCCUUCUUGUUUCCUACCUCCAUCUUCAAAUAUCAGCCACAAGCUCCCAAUGGUCUUGGUGUUAAAUUAGUAAAAGCGCCUUUUGGUAUGCCACGUGGUUCCUGCCGUCAACGUUUACGCGAUUCGUUGGCGUGGGUAACCGGUACGUGUCGGUUACAGGGGUAGCUUUGGUGUCAAAAGCCACCGGAUUUGUGACCAUUAGCCACCGUAUGCGGUGAUGAGAUUUUAGGGUUGCAACAAAUCUAGGGAUAUGCUAUGCUCCCCGUUUUCUUCUUUCGAUUUAGUUGCUAAUUUUUUUAGGUUAAAAUUCUCCAUAAAUCCUUGUAUUUUUUUAUAGAUUUGAAAUUUAAUUCCUGUACUUUUAUUUUUAGGCAUUUAGUCAUUUUACUUUUCAUAUUUUUAAAUUCAGGUUUUACGGUAAAUAUUGUUAAAAUUAUUUGUUAAAUUCAGGUUCAUUAUAAUAUCAGUUUUUUAGUUAAGUUGCUACCAAGUGAAUUUUUUUUAUUUCAAUAUGUAUUAUAAACCAAUUUAACAAAAAAAAUUGUAACAAUGUUAACAAUUGAACUUAAAUAAAUUUCAAAUUUACGAAGAGUACAGAAAUAUGACCUAUUUUAACCUUUUUUUAUUAAACUUGUGAGUUACAAUUUAAUUCCUAAAUUUGAAUUUUUUUAAAGUGUAUUGGCAUGUCACUCUAAUAUUAGGUCAUAUUGUCAUUUAAAAAUUUGAAAAACUUUAUAUGAUAUCUAAAGAAUGCAAAAGGUAAAAAUUAAAGAAAUUCAUGUGACGAUGUGAAAUAAUCUCAUAACGUCACAUCAUUAUAUUUUAACAAGAUCUAAGUUAAGAAACUAAAUUGAGAAAAGCUAUCAAGUUUAAAGACUAAAGUGGAUUUAAGGACUAAAUGUUACUUUAUGAUUUUUUUUUCAUUUUAAGAUAAGAGUAAACUAGUUUCUGAACUUCAUUUAAAAAGAUGUAUCAUGUUUUGUAAUUAAUGACACAUUCUAAAACAGCGCCCCUAUUUAUUGUAAUGAUAUAGCAUUAUUCAGUGCCUUGAUGUCCUCCGCUAAUGGUUGGAGCCUCCAAUCGAUGGAACUUACAUCCUGCUCAAAACUCUUGCAUAAAGCUUUCAUGUUAGGUGCAGAGAUACCAAUAGUCAAUCCAAACCUCUUUGCCUCAAUCAUUGCUUCUCUUGUUACGAAUAAAAUAGCUUGCUUAGUGCUAACAAAGUGCUACAAGAACUUGUAAAUUUGAUUCCUUGAAUAUUAAAGAUUGUUAGAGACACCCCGAGGCAGAUGGUCCCUUUCUUCCAAGCUACCAAAGCAAUUCCCGAUAUGGUACCAUGAGGAACAUUCGAUCUACUUGAUUUGCUCUGUUGUACUUGGGAAUAUCUCUCCGCAGCAUUCUUCCAUUUCUUGCCCUCAAACACCUGUAUCCAUAGUCCUUGAAGAUUUCAAACUUUGUUGAUUACGUUUAAGGAUUAGCAUCAUAACCUUUAAAAUAGCAUUUAUUUUUAUGAAUCCGUAUAUUUCAUAACUUGAUACGUAUUAUUCAUUAAUAAAAUAAAGAAAUUGAUGUUGAUGCUUUUCCUCCUUAGUAUAACAUACAAGAUAAAACUCCGAAUAUCACAAUUGUUAACUUGAGUCCACUUGAAACCCAAAAUCAAUCCCAACCAAACUAAGAAGAGAUGAUCAUAGGAUUCCAUAUGUUAGAAUAAUUAAUGGUUUUGAUACAACUUGCAGCUUUUGUGGCUACCUAUUUCCUCUUUUAAAGGCAAAACUUUGACAUAUAUUUUUUAUAGAAAUAGUUAAUUCAAAAGGUUAAUAAUUAAGAUAAAAUAUCAUUUUGAUAUUUUUAAAAUUCUUUUUAAUUAUUUUAAAAAUUACUUAAAAAUUAUUAAAAUUUUAACCUAAUCCUUUAAACCGGAGCUUUUGGGUUUUACCCAAUUCUUUGAAACUUAAUCCUUUGCUGUUUUUCUUAUUCUUUUUAAUUCACAUCUGUAAUACCAGACUGUUGCCAAUGAUUAAAAUAUAAAAACAACUCAAAAUUAGAACAGUUAUUUUUAUAAUAAAAUUAUUAAAAUAUAAAAAUAACUCAAUAUUGAAUCAGUUUUUUUUCAAUUUAACAGAAAUUAUAAGAAAAAAAGCUGGGUUUUAAUUAAGAGAACCCAAAACCCCAAUCUUUAAAUUCUCUGAUUUAAUCAAACUAGCAAAAGUUUAAAAAAAAAAAAAACGACAGUUAGACUACAAGGGAAAAAUCAAAAGAGACAAAAAAAUCUUUUCAUUCUUUUAAUGAUUUUUAUAAUUUUUAAUUAUUUUUAAGAUUUUUUAAAAGAUUUAUUGUUAAUUUUUUUGAAAAAUAUCAAAAUAAUAUUUUUAACUAUAAUUUAAUAAUUAAAUUAAUUGUUAAUCAUUUGAAUUAAGUAUCAUGUCGUUCACUUAACGGAAAUUAACGGACAAAUUAUUAAAAUGUAAUAUUUAAAUAACAUUAAUAAUCAUUUCGUACCCUCUAAAAGUUCAUUCAUUCAAUUAAAUAAAAUCGAAUAUUCAAUCGUUACACAUAUUACUUCUACUAGAGCCAUUGAAUAAACCAAAAACGGUUCUUAAUUUGUCUACAAAGUCAACACUCUGUCCUAUACACUCACAUGAAUAAAAUUUCAAUUCGGUCAGCCCCUUAAUUAUUAGAUUUAUUCAUGUUAUGCUAAUUAUUCAAUACCAUCCAAUUCAUGCAUUAAUUUGCCUUAAUUAUCCUAAAUUAACAUAGUUAGCAAUUAAUCAAGAGGGAAAACAGUUCAUUUGAGUACUACUAAAUAAUUUCCAUCCAAUAAUGAAAUCUAGCCCUUGAUAUAAUUACACUCAAAUCCCUCUUAACUUUUAUUACUUUUUAGUAGUCCCCACCAAUUCACAUUUGAAUCCCUCCACUUCAAGCAUUUAUUUACUAGAUAACCCCCACUUCAGUUUUCCUACUAUUUUCUCUUAAAUUACACCAUCUCAAUUUACUUAUUUCAGCAUAAAUAUUUAAGUUCACUGUUUAUCUCGAAAUUUACUAUCCGGAUGAUAUCAUUCCGUGGUCUAAAUUUUGAACAGUUUAAAUAUUAUAAAUUAAAAAAAAUCUGUAUAAAUUUUGAUAUUAAAUAAAUUGGUCCUCUAAAAAAAUCAAAUCGGUUUAAUCCCUGACAAGUUUGAAAAUAAACGCCUAAGACAAUUAAUCACACUAUAAUUAUUUUUCACAAUAUAUAUAAUUUUUUAUUAGUAUAAUAAUAAAUUUAACUCACGACAUUUAUAUAUUCUGUCAAUCCAAUUUUGAUGUAACAAAUUUAAUCCACAAAUUUUUCACAUAAUCAACAUUUAUUUAAAUUUAUUAUUAUACUAAUAAAAAUUAUAUAUAAUUGACCAAAAAGCAUCACUAUUAUAAUCAAUUAUCAUUAGUUGCUUUUGAAAAUCUACAAACAUCAAUUACUCCAAUUUUGAGAGAAAUUUAAAACCGACUGGAAUCACCAAAAACAAACGUGACUACCAAAAAUCCAGAGAAAACAUCCACGGUAGAUCAACUAUAUGCUAGGGAAUUAAUAUCAAAAAAGUUAUAUGGUAGAGAAGAUGUCGGUACCAUUUGUAUUUUUGUCUUCAAAAUCUUGAAAAAUAUUUUUGGGAAAUAUGUUUUCCUGAACUAAAAUAACUUGGAAAAUAUUUAGUGCAUUGGUAAUUUUUUAAAAUUAUUUUUGGAAUAAAAAAGUACAUGGUGAAUGUAUUAUAUACUAACCCAAAUAAAUUUUAGUUAAAAAUGAUGAUAAACUAAUUUUUAAUAAAAGUAAUAUUAAGUCCUAAACAAUUAAAUACAUCAAAAGUAACAUUUUUAUUGUAUAUAAAAGCGAAAAAAUAUAUACAAAACAUAAAAAAAUAACAAAAAACCACAAUACAAAAACAAAAACAAUGAGUCAAAUGAUAACUAAACACCAAAGCAAACAGACAAGGCUUGGAAGAAAAAAAAAGAGAGUAAAUAUACUUUUUGGUUCUCUUCUGAAUUUAAUGUUUAAAUUGGUACCUGUUAAGGGGUCAGCUCCUUAGGGCAGCCAAUUCGAACUCUCAACAAUCGAUAGUAUCGUACUGAUAUUAAGGUUUUGUCCCCAACCUCCAAGGAGAGUCGUGUACAGCUCAGUAGGGAAGUACCUUAGUUGAUAGAAAUAGGCACUUGCAAAACUCGAAAAAAAUGUCAAUAUAAGGUGUGUAAAUAAUAAAGAAGGUACUUGGGCACCGCAAAAUUCAAGACACCAAGAUACCUCCAUUAUUAUUCACACACCCUAUAAUCUCUUUUCUCCCAAAUCUUGCAACCAACUAAAUUACCCCUUUAAUGAAUCGUACAUUGCUCUCCACAAAAGCUAGGGACAAAACUUCAAUACAAGGAUAAAACCAUCAGUUGUUGAGGGACCGGAUCAACUGCCCGACCAACCACACUUCAAAUACUUCUACUAAAAGAGCCAAUCCCCCAUCAAUAGUACUUUUUUUUUUGGUUCAGACUAUACUCAAAUUUGAUUUCAUCACAUCGUUAAUCUUGAAUGACAUGGACCAAUCAGAUUUAAACACACGGGACACAUCAUGUCAUCAACUGAUGUACCACGUGUAAUAAAUUGAUUGGACCACAUAAUCCAAUUUUAAAAGAGCUACAAAAAAUUGACUAAAACCUGUAAGAAAAGCCAAAUUCAAGUAACAAUUCGGACAAAUAUGUUACAUAUGUACCAAUUUGAACAUCGAAACCAAAUUCAGGUAUCAAAAAAUAUAUCUACCCAGAAAAAACGAAGCAUAAAAACAGUUAAACUAUGAAUCAGUGGGGCAAUCUGUUUAAAUUGCCUUUUCAUUGCAUAAAAAAGGUUUCAGCUUCAGCUAGAGUUCACUAAGCAAAAGGUAGAAGAAUAAUGAUAAAGAAAGGCAUUCAGAUUCAGUACUUACUUUAAAUGCUUCCAUCUCAGAGGGAGUUUUUUAACUGCAGUUGCAAGGAUAAAAAAGUCCAGGAAAGCGAAUAAGUCAAUGUAGAUAUUAGAUAGUACACAACACCACCUACACGAAAAGUCUCGUGAGCUGCAAUCGAAUAAAAGUCUUUUAAGAUCAACAAAUGAAAAGGAAAUAAGAUAUGGGGGAAGAACAUUAGAGAUUGCAUUCAACAAACAAACUUUGCCCUUGUUAAUUGUAUGCAAUUGUGUAAAAGUCAAGUUGAAGCUUCCCCUUCCAAGCGUACCCUCUUGGGACCUUUCUCUUCACCUUGACUGCCGGUGUUCAUCACUCUGUUUUCUUUGGCUUCCACAGAACACCUUUUGUAAGGUUUAAAUCCAGUUCGGCCAGCUUUUAGUUUUGAAUGUCCUAAUCCAAUAGUCAGCAGGCCCUCUUCUGUAGUGUUCUUGUCUCUUGAUAAUGCAUUUUUCACAGUUACUUGAUGAUCAGAACAAGAACCCAAUGUCUUGCUGUUGAGAUCUAAAGUUGAUAUUUCUUCAUCUUCCUCAGCUGGAUUUUGCUUGUCUUCACCUAUAUUUUCCUUUUGCUGCCCCUUGCUCUUGCCAUCAUGUGGAGGAGAAAAGCUUUGCGGGAGUACCUCUCGGGAGAAGAGGGCUUGAAAAGCUAGCCGCCCCUGGAUAAGUAGUGGAGCCAUACAGUGACAAUGGUACAAUACAAUUAGAAUAAUAAUUAAAGUUAAGCUAAUGGGAAAAUUGAGAUAUCGACUCACCUCUUCAGAUACCUCCUUCCAAGAAUCACUCAGGUUGCUAUUGCUUCUACUACUACGACGGCUACAUUCAACUUGUGGAUGAUUUGGGUCAGCUCCUUUUGAAUCUUCCUUGUCUUUUUCAUGUUUUUCUAACGCAUCUGUCUCUACCUCACUGCUUGAAGGAGUGUUGGAGCCACAUGAGGACCGGUCAACUUGUUUUUUGUUCUUUGUUUUAUUUGCAUCCUGAGGCUCAAUUACUUCAGCAGCCAUCUCAUCAUCGGUAGCUUUCACUCCAGUAUUCACUUUUGCAUCUCCUCUCUCUUCACAGUCCGAUGAUGAUGAAGUAGGUGAUUUAGAUGAUGAAUGCUGACCUUGCAAAGCUUCAGAGUUUUCGGGGUCUAGUUGCUCAACCUGCAGAGAUAGAGCUUGAUCAGUUUUACCCUUUUGUUCUGUCUUGGCAGCUGGAGGUUGACCAUUCUCCAUUGGUGGAACUGCAGCAGUGGAUGCAGGAAAACAGGUAAAGCCUGUAUGCAGAGGAGCACAUACAGGAAACAGUCCAUGGGCGGCCCACCAUGCAGUUGCAGCUGCUACAGUUGCAGCAGCAAUUGCAGCCAUACUUGGAGCAGAGUUGAUUUGUCUAGAUGGGAAACCUCCUAAGCCGCAUGCAGGAGAAUCGCCAGAGCUUUCAAUAUUCGCAUAAGGCCAAAAUCUUGCUGCAAAGCUUGCUGCAGCAUGGGCAGCUGGAUUCUGUAACAAUGUAGAUACAAUGAGACUGGAAAAAGUGGAGGAGACAUGUAGAAAUGAUCGAUAGUCCUGUUGAUUUGGGCGAAG